GUAUUACUAUAAUUUGUUAGGAUUUGGAGCAUGCUGGGUGGUUUUGUUUUAAUCUUGGUGUUUAGGUGGAGUUGUGGGAGGCUUCCUGAGUGACUAAGCUGAGUUUUCCCUGGUUUGCUGUUACACACAUAUCUAGACUGUGUAUGUCAGGACUGGCAGUGGUAUGGUGGUAAAUCGGCCCUCCUGUUGAUUUGGCAAGUUUUUCAUGAGAGCAACACACACUCACCUCUUGCUGCUCAACCAGUAUUUUUUUUCCUUACAAAUGUGGUGCCAAUUAAUAAACAGGCUUUCCAGCAGUGUAAGAUUUAUUGCUAAGAAGCACUGUUACGACAAAGAAAUAACCAACUAAAAACAAAUUUCCUUACUUUUGUCAUUUGAAUCUUAAUUUACUUACAGAUCAUCUAAAUCAUGAAGAAGAUCAGACUUGGUGAAGAUAAAGUGAAUUUGCUGACAUUCGCCAUCAUUUCCAGUGAGGCUACUAACACUUUCCAGGAUCUCCCAGGCUGCUUUCACUGAUGCUGCUCGAUUAAUUCACCAUUUCCUUUUCUUGAGUCAUUUCUUGUCUACUUGACACAUUCUGCAGAGAGUUCAUCAGCCUGCAAUAAAUAACAAAAAUGUGAUCCAGACUCUGCCAACAAGAGCUCACACUGCCCUACUGACCUGAAAUACAGUGGCAUGAAAACGUGUUUGCCCCCUUCCUGUUUUUGUGUUAGUUUGUUUGUCACACAUGUGUUGUUUCAGAUCAUCAAACAAAUUUAAAUAUUACAGAAAGAUAAUAAAAGUAAACACAAAAUGCAGUUUCUAAAUGAAAGUGUUUUUUAUUAUUUUUAUUAUUAUUAUUAUUUUAUUUUACCUUGAGAAUUGAAUGAACCCAUAAUCUCAGUUUCUUCUUUUUCUUGUGUAGAAACAUCAGGAUCAGCUCAUUGUCACUUGUCACAAGUGAAAUUCUUGAGGAACACCAGGAAG
ensembl:lncRNA